AACGUAGGAGGCGAGCGUUAUCCGGAUUCACUGGGCGUAAAGCGCGUGCAGGUGGCCUGGUAAGUUAGGCGUGAAAUCUCCCGGCUCAACUGGGAGAGGUCGUCUAAUACUACCGGGCUAGAGAACAGAAGAGGAAGAUGGAAUUCCCGGUGUAGUGGUGAAAUGCGUAGAUAUCGGGAGGAACACCAGUGGCGAAGGCGAUCUUCUGGUCUGUUUCUGACACUCAGACGCGACAGCUAGGGUAGUAAACGGG
rnacentral:rRNA from 1 species